ACCAUUUUUAAGAGAAAGAAAAAAGUCUUCGUAUUGUUACUGAGAAAUCUAACAUCUCCUUCCCUUUGCUCCGUCUUGUCCUCGUUGGCCGCUGCUCACCGUCUGCCGCUCGUCGUCCAGAACUACCGUAUGCAACUUAGUCAUGAUUAAGGCGUGGACUUGAGAUUUGACAUGCACUACUAAUAAAUAUUUUCCAAUUUUAUGGACUCCCAAGAAUCUAUGUUGUAAGAAGAAUGCAUGGAAGUCAAUUUGUUCUCCUUAAGUAGGAUUCCCACAAUGCAUUAUUCUUAAAGAAGGUUAUAAUCAAAGAUGAUCCACAAGAUGAUGAAAGUGGUGAAGAUUUGAAAUUACUGAAGACAACUAUACUAUGUUAAUUUAAAAAUUUAUAGUACUUAAAUUGAUUUUUAACAUGUGUUUUUACAUAAAAGAGAUUCUAUUAUGUUUCAUAUUAUUAACUAAUGUUUUCUAUACAUAAUAGAGAUUAUAUAACAUUUCAUAUUACUAA